AUGACUAUAAAGUAAUAAUAGCAUGGCAUUUUGAAUUCGAUAUGAGAAAAAAAAAACCAUUCAAUUAUAUAUCGAAAGAGUAGUAUGAGAUAAGGGGCAUUUUCGAUUUUAUCUGAU